rnacentral:rRNA from 1 species
GACGAACGCUGGCGGCGUGCUUAACACAUGCAAGUCGAACGAGGUAGCAAUACCUAGUGGCGGACGGGUGAGUAACGCGUAGGUAAUCUGCCCAUCGGUGGGGGACACCCAGUCGAAAGAUUGGUUAAUACCGCAUACGCUAGUCUCUUGUAAUAGGGGCUAGGAAAGAUUCAUUGCCGAUGGAUGAGCCUGCGUCUGAUUAGCUAGUUGGUGGGGUAACGGCCCACCAAGGCGACGAUCAGUAGCUGGUCUGAGAGGACGAUCAGCCACACUGGAACUGAGACACAGUCCAGACUCCUACGGGAGGCAGCAGUGGGGAAUUUUCCGCAAUGGGCGAAAGCCUGACGGAGCAACGCCGCGUGGAGGAUGAAGUCUUUCGGGAUGUAAACUCCUUUCAGUCGGGACGAGACGAAGACGGUACCGACAGAAGAAGCAUCGGCUAACUACGUGCCAGCAGCCGCGGUAAGACGUAGGAUGCAAGCGUUGUCCGGAAUUAUUGGGCGUAAAGAGAACGUAGGCGGUUCCUUAAGUUUGGGGUUAAAGACCGAGGCUCAACCUCGGGAGUGCCCUGAAUACUGGGGGACUGGAGGACGGCAGAGGAAAGUGGAAUUCCCAGUGUAGCGGUGAAAUGCGUAGAUAUUGGGAGGAACACCAGUGGCGAAAGCGACUUUCUGGGCCGUUCCUGACGCUGAGGUUCGAAAGCGUGGGGAGCAAACAGGAUUAGAUACCCUGGUAGUCCACGCCGUAAACGAUGGAUACUAGGUGUCAGAGGUAUCAACCCCUCUGGUGCCGUAGCUAACGCGUUAAGUAUCC